rnacentral:rRNA from 1 species
GUAACGGCGAGUGAAGCGGCAACAGCUCAAAUUUGAAAUCUGGCGUCUUUGGCGUCCGAGUUGUAAUUUGCAGAGGGCGCUUUGGCAUUGGCAGCGGUCCAAGUUCCUUGGAACAGGACGUCACAGAGGGUGAGAAUCCCGUACGUGGUCNCUAGCCUUUACCGUGUAAAGCCCCUUCCACGAGUCGAGUUGUUUGGGAAUGCAGCUCUAAAUGGGAGGUAAAUUUCUUCUAAAGCUAAAUACUGGCCAGAGACCGAUAGCGCACAAGUAGAGUGAUCGAAAGAUGAAAAGCACUUUGGAAAGAGAGUUAAAAAGCACGUGAAAUUGUUGAAAGGGAAGCGCUUGCAGCCAGACUUGCCUGUAGUUGCUCAUCCGGGUUUUUACCCGGUGCACUCUUCUAUAGGCAGGCCAGCAUCAGUUUGGGCGGUUGGAUAAAGGUCUCUGUCACGUACCUCCUCUCGGGGAGAACUUAUAGGGGAGACGUAAUGCAACCAGCCUGGACUGAGGUCCGCGCAUCUGCUAGGAUGCUGGCGUAAUGGCUGUAAGCG